AAAUGAUGCUGCGUUUAGUAUUUCGGUUUAAACGUCCGAAGCGACGCGGCUCUCCAGCUCAUUGCUGCAGUUUUCCUGCCAGAGAGAGGAAGCGAAAUCUAUCGCUGUUCCAACAUAGAAUGACUAGACCGACCUACUUUGCAGCUUCAGUUCCAUGAGGAGGGGGUUUCAUUUCUGGGACACUGGACAUUUGGCUUUUUGGGUCACACACAUACACAGGCGAUAGCCAUGACUUCACGGCGCCUUUCUCCGCAGCAGCGAUUCCUCCGCACAGUAACAUUCCCCCCGCAAGGCAACGGUGUCGAAAGGUCAAGAAGCUAACGCAGGAGAUAAUAUCUGGACAGCUUCCAGAUGUCUGCGGUGCAGAUAGAUGACUGCCAUUACAGAUCCGAAUGGGUGAUGCUCGCUGAAGAUCAGGCAAUAAUGUGCACAGGUUUUGGAGAAAAAUGUCUUUGUCUGAGGAAAGUGGCAGGUUUCCUCCUUCAAAGGGGACAAAGUGUUUCUCCAUAGUUUGGUAGGAUGUCACCUCCGGCAAAAGCUGUCCAUGCUCCAUGGGGGAACUACCUGCUGCAUCGAUACUUGAUAAGCAUGAGAGUUUUUAAAAUACAUACUGGAUGCAGCGCUCAAAACACAGGAAACCAUUCAAACCCUUUAUCACAGUUUAUUUUCUCCUCCACUUUACUGGGCUAUUUGAAUAAAUCAUGCAAUUCGCAA